rnacentral:tRNA from 1 species
UCUCUGGAGGACUAGUGGUUAGGCCACAGCGCUCUCACCAGUGUGCCCCAGGUUUGAUUCCCAGCCAGGGAA